AUAUAAAAAUUUGUUUAUUUGGGCCCGGGUGGAAAAAAAUAUAAGAAAAAAAUUUUUUAUAAAAUUAAAUGAAGUAAAGUUAAAGAACCAUAAAAUUUAAAGACGUUAGUUUAAAAGUAUUGAGAAAGAAAAUUGAAAUAAGAUGAAAAUUUAAUUUGAUAAAAGUAAAUUUAUAAGUGUGUACCUUGUGUAUCAGGGAAUCUCUAAAUUUUCUAAAUAGAUAGUUAUCCCGAAAAAAAAAUAGCUAGGGGCAAGUUUUAGUUAUAGUUACAAAUAUAUUAAAAAUUUACCCUUAGUAGUGAAAUAUUAACCGAGUUUUUUGAUAUCUGGUUCUCUUAAAAAUAAAUUUAAUUUAGGUGGGAUUUAAAACAAAAUUGUUACUUAAAGCAGGAGGUAAAAGCUUCUUGUUAAAAUAUAGUAUAAACCAGAUUGAUAUAAGAUAAAUUUGGACUAGGCUUAGAAGUAGCCAUGUUUAUAAAGUGUUUCAACUAAAAUAAAUAUUUGAAAAUAUUUAUAUUGUUUUUACUAGUAGUAUAAGAGUGUGAAAUUUAAUAAAAAAUUUUGAGUAAAAAUGGGUUUAUUAGUAAAGAGUUGUGUGAAAUUAAAUUAAAUUAAAAUAAAAUAAAAGAUUUAUUGGAGUGUAGAGGUGUUGGUUAGGAACUCGGCAAAAUUGACUUUUGCCUGUUUAUCAAAAACAUGUCUUUAUGAUUUUUAUAUAAAGUCUAGCCUGCCCAUUGACGUGAAGUUAAAAGGCCGCGGUAUAUUGACCGUGCGAAGGUAGCAU
rnacentral:rRNA from 1 species